rnacentral:rRNA from 1 species
AUUGAACGCUGGCGGUAGGCCUAACACAUGCAAGUCGAACGCGAAAGUCCUUCGGGAUGAGUAGAGUGGCGGACGGGUGAGUAACGCGUAGGAAUCUAUCCUGUAGUGGGGGAUAGCGUUUCGAAAGGAACGCUAAUACCGCAUACGCCCCACGGGGGAAAGCGGGGGAUCUUCGGACCUCGUGCUAUAGGAGGAGCCUGCGUCGGAUUAGCUAGUUGGUGAGGUAAAGGCUCACCAAGGCGACGAUCCGUAGCUGGUCUGAGAGGAUGAUCAGCCACACUGGAACUAAGACACGGUCCGGACUCCGACGGGAGGCAGCAGUGGGGAAUAUUGCGCAAUGGGCGAAAGCCUGACGCAGCCAUACCGCGUGUGUGAAGAAGGCCUUCGGGCUGUAAAGCACUUUCAGUGGGGAGGAAAAGCUGGUGGCUAAUAUCCAUCGGCCGUGACGCUACCCACAGAAGAAGCACCGGCUAAUUCCGUGCCAGCCGCCGCGGUAAUAC